rnacentral:rRNA from 1 species
UACGGAGGAUGCAGGCGUUAUCCGGAAUGAUUGGGCGUAAAGCGUCCGCAGGUGGCUGUGUAAGUCUGCUGUUAAAGAGUCUAGCUCAACUAGAUACAAGCAGUGGAAACUACACGGCUAGAGUACGUUCGGGGCAGAGGGAAUUCCGGGUGUAGCGGUGGAAUGCGUAGAGAUCCGGAAGAACACCAGAGGCGAAGGCGGCUCGCUGGGCUUGGUCUGACGCUGAGGCGCGAAAGCGUGGGGAGCGAACAGG